CCUACGGGCGGCAGCAGUGAGGAAUAUUGGUCAAUGGGCGCGAGCCUGAACCAGCCAAGUAGCGUGAAGGAUGACUGCCCUACGGGUUGUAAACUUCUUUUAUAAAGGAAUAAAGUGAGGCACGUGUGCAUUUUUGUUUGUACUUUAUGAAUAAGGAUCGGCUAACUCCGUGCCAGCAGCCGCGGUAAUACGGAGGAUCCGAGCGUUAUCCGGAUUUAUUGGGUUUAAAGGGAGCGUAGGUGGAUUGUUAAGUCAGUUGUGAAAGUUUGCGGCUAAACCGUAAAAUUGCAGGUGAAACUGGCAGUUGUGAGUACAGUAGGGGUGGGCGGAAUUCGUGGUGUAGCGGUGAAUGCUUAGAUAUCACGAAGAACUCCGAUUGCGAAGGCAGCUCACUGGACUGCAACUGACACUGAUGCUCGAAAGUGUGGGUAUCAAACAGGAUUAGAUACCCCGGUAGUC
rnacentral:rRNA from 1 species